rnacentral:rRNA from 1 species
UACAGAGGUCCCAAGCGUUGUUCGGAUUCAUUGGGCGUAAAGGGUGCGUAGGCGGCGCGGUAAGUCGGGUGUGAAAUCUCGGAGCUUAACUCCGAACUGCAUUCGAUACUGCCGUGCUUGAGGACUGGAGAGGAGACUGGAAUUUACGGUGUAGCGGUGAAAUGCGUAGAUAUCGUAAGGAAGACCAGGUGGCGAAGGCGGGUCUCUGGACAGUUCCUGACGCUGAGGCACGAAGGCCAGGGGAGCAAACGGG